CCUUUGUAAAAGAAAUAAAGAAAGUCGAAGCAAGCAAGUUAUUCCUCAUACCGGCGGUUCUAAACCUCUAGCGAGAAAAAGAUACGAGAUGUUUAUGGAAACUGGGCAACUACCGAGUCGUGGAAAAUGAUACAUUGAAACUCACAAGAGAAAAGAUGGAUCAUUGGUAAAUGAUGCUGCAAAGACUAUAGUUGAACAAAUAGAAGAGGGUUUGACACAAAGUACUAAUGAUGAAUCAGAAGUUUCUCCUCAAGAUGUUCUCGGUAGAGUGCUUGGACUAGAGCAUUCUGGGAGAGUGCGUUGCAUGGGAAUGGGAGUAGUACCAACUGGAGCAUUUAGGAACACUAGACUGCGAAUUUCAGAUUUGAGUUAUUCUUCACCUAAUGUUGCAGUACCAUCAUCAUCUAACCCUUGGCAAGAGAAGUACAGCCACUUAGAAUCUCAAAUUCAAACCAUCUUGAGUUCAUUCCAGACCUAUGUCAUAAUGAAGGAAGGGAAGAUACCUGAAAAAUUAGCUGGCCUAUUUGAUAAACCACAUGUAAAUGAUGCUCCGACUUUUCAUAAUUCACCAAGCAUGCCUACCUCGCCAUUGGAUACUAGUGUGGGUAACUCAUCUUUGGAUGCAAGAAGAUCAUCAAAUGCAAGCAAUGAAUGAUGGUAUUACAAAUAUGCAGACAUGACUAAAUUACCAUUGGAUGCUACUGUGACCAACUCACCUUUAAUUGCAAGAUCAUCAAAUGUUAGCAAUUUUAUUUUUAGUGUGAUUAAAAAUAGGGUAACCCUUGAAAAUAUGCAACCAUUUCUAAUGAUUGGAUGAUAGUAUGUCUAGCCCACCUUUAGAUGCAAGAUCAUCAUCAAAUGCUAGAAACAUUGGCUUACUGCCAACAUAUAUUUAGAAUUUAAUGAAUUUUAAGCUGCUUUAAAAAUUAUAAUUUAUUUGAGGUAUUAA